UGAGAAUAGAUAUUAGAUUUAUUGCAAAAAUUAUGUUAUGCAUGUCAAGAGUAGUAUGAAUUAGACAUAGGAAUUAAAUGAGAAUGGAAUGAAAUUAAACAUAAUUUAAACAUAAAUGCUAUAUAUUUUCUUGAGCUAAUUUAGUGUCUCGGUUAAAAACUAGCAUUUAGUCUGCAGAAAAGUUAUGUUGAUUAUUUCAAGCAAAAACAAAAUCUAAUUUUUCCAAUGUGAAAAUUUACUUUUGAGUUCACUAGAUUUCAGGGAGAAAGUACCAACUGAUGUGAAGUCUCGAUGUUCAUUGGGUUUCAUGUUGGUUCCAGAAUAUUUUGACCUCUCUCCAUAC
rnacentral:lncRNA from 1 species